UUAGUAAGCUAGAACCCUUCAUGGAAAAUAUGGGCUUUGAGCUUGAAAAAGAGUUCCGAGACCUGCUAAACAACCUAUCCAUUGAUGGUGAGAAGGUUGAUACUAGGAACCUGGAAAAUUUUCUGGAAAAUAUGGGGAUAAAGCUCACAGAGGAUAAAGGCAAAGAACUACUGAACAAUCUCCCUGUUGAUGCUAAAGGAAGGGUGUAUAUGAACAG